rnacentral:rRNA from 1 species
GAUGAACGCUGGCGGCGUGCCUAAUACAUGCAAGUCGAGCGAACGGACGAGAAGCUUGCUUUUCUGAUGUUAGCGGCGGACGGGUGAGUAACACGUGGAUAACCUACCUAUAAGACUGGGAUAACUUCGGGAAACCGGAGCUAAUACCGGAUAAUAUUUUGAACCGCAUGGUUCAAAAGUGAAAGACGGUCUUGCUGUCACUUAUAGAUGGAUCCGCGCUGCAUUAGCUAGUUGGUAAGGUAACGGCUUACCAAGGCAACGAUGCAUAGCCGACCUGAGAGGGUGAGCGGCCAACCUGGAACCGAGACACGGUCCAGAAUCCCACGGGAGGCAGCCGUAGGGAAUCUUCCGCAAUGGGCGAAAGCCUGACGGAGCAACGCCGCGUGAGUGAUGAAGGUCUUCGGAUCGUAAAACUCUGUUAUUAGGGAAGAACAUAUGUGUAAGUAACUGGGCACAUCUUGACGGGACCUAAUCAGAAAGCCACGGCUAACUACGUGC